rnacentral:tRNA from 1 species
GUGCGAGUGGUCUAGCUCGGUAUGACACCUCCCUCACACGGAGGAGGUCGCCGGUUCAAAUCCGGCCUCGCACACCA